GUGCUCAGUGAGCAGGGCGGGGUGGAUGCUCUGUGCCAAACUCUCACUUGUCUCCUUUCUCCUUAGGGCAUUCUUCAUUCACUAAACUUGCUACUAAGGCAGCUUUGGUGGAAGUAAUCUAUUUCCUGAAAGUGGAGGCCCCUCCUGGCUGAGCACUCAGUGUUGGAGCUUGGGGGAACUGCUGUUUGGAAGAGCAGAGUGGGAAAAGUGGCUGAGGGAUAAAGUGACCCCCAUCUUUUCAUCCUCCUCCUGUACGACUGAGCUGGCUGCAAACAAAACAUGGUGGGAGCCUCGCCAGGCAGUGGUGUUGAAUCCCCUUCAUCUGUGAAGAACAGUUCUGCUGCCAACUUCAUACCACCACCUCUUCCUCCACAGAGGAAAGACUUCUGAGCCUGCUGAGAGCUGCCUCGUUGUGUGGGAUGGUGGCAGGGAUGUAACUACAGAGGAGCCCCUAUGCUCAUCUCCUCCCCACAGCUCUGCAGAAGUGUUCUCAAUCGCUUCUGACAGGGAGUUGGCAUUUGCCACACCAGAGAAGAUCUGGAGAUGGUUUGGUUGCAUCUGGCUGUGCUGUGCCCUGCAUCAGCCUCCAGAGAGCCUGUGUGAUGGGACAGGAGACCUUCCAGCUGGAGAAGUCAGACACUGUUCAAACUUGACCCAGAUUCUGAGACCUUGGUCUCAUCCCUGUGCCACCUCUUGUCUGAGCUGAGGCAUCCUCCCAUGGAGAAAGGAGCUGCAAAAUCACUGGUCAAUCUGUUCUCCUUCAUGCCUUGUCUAUCCUUGCUAAGAGAGGGGGUGAGACACUCCCCCCCACAAGUCAUGACUUAGGUAAACUACAGGAUCAUUUUCUUCCAGUGGCUUUAAAAAAAGGAAGGUUUUACCUUCCUUUGCUUCAGCCUUUCAGUAACCCUUUGAGAUCCUACAUGUGUUUGUGACCAUCCCUGAGCCCCAAGCUGGAAUUUUUAAAGCACUACCAGCAUCAACCCCAAGCGAAAUAAUAGAUGAGAUGAGAGCAGAAGGAAGCACCAUAUGCUCAGAGUAGAGAGCUGCAUGUGCAGGUAAGCUCUGAACAAUUUCUGAUUUUAUACUUUGCCAGUGUAUUAUUUAUGCCCUUGGAACACGGUGUACAUCUGCUUGGUCAGCCUUGAAAGUGGCCUGACUUUAGCAAUUGAGACAAGCAGACCAAGGCAUUUCCAAAUUCUUGGUCAUAUUUGAGAACUCCCUUAGUUUCUGGCUGGGUUAUGUGGAUGAUGUGCUAGGAAGAAAGAGGAAGUGUUGGUUUGAGCUGUUAGAUUGCAAGUUUUUCAGAGUGGCCUUGUAACCUCCUGGAUAUGGAGUCAGCCAUGUGUCAGGCACUGCUGCUGGUAACAGCAAUGUAAUCCAGCCCUGGGAUUAUGCUGUGUACAUCCCCUGCUUCUUUUGUGGUUUUGAAUUUCCCUAAAAAUGUUUUUUUUUCGUAAACUUUGGUAAUGAAGAUGAAAUCCCCCUUUGUUGCAUUUUUGUUCCUUUUUAUAGAUAAGCUAUUGUCUCACCGAAAAAAUA